GGUGUGUAACUAACACCCUCUUUCUUAGUCUGGAUCAGCAAAAGUCGAAAAGCCGAAAUGCCGAAAACCGGUAUUUGUAGAUUUGCGAGUGUGCGAAUGCUCGUGAGGUAAAUCGAUUAAUGUUUUUGGUAAGCUGCAAAAAUUGGACUGCAAAGUGCAUGAUUUCUGUGCCCUCGAUAUUUUUGGGCUUAAUGGGCCAAAAUUGGAAUGAUGGGCCAACGGGCCCAAUUCGGUAAUCCCCAACCAUAGUGGGCUUGGAGUUGUGAGGGAAUUCGGAGUGGCCACCUAUUCUGAGAGUUUGAUUUUCUUCUGGUGAACUGGACAUCCUAUUAUUUACGUUGAGGUUUGGGUUUUUAAAUGUAAUAAGGCCGCUUAAUUAUUUUUUAUGGUUUUAAUAUGUAUUACUAAGAUAGGUAUUACUUAUUUUAACUGUUGAAAUUGGAUAGCUUUAGGGCGCGUUUUCAAAAAAAAAACAACAAUUGAUUUCAAAAUAA